rnacentral:tRNA from 1 species
UGGAAUAUAGCCAAGCGGUAAGGCAACGGUUUUUGAUACCGUGAUUCGUAGGUUCGAUCCCUACUAUUCCAA